rnacentral:rRNA from 1 species
GAUGAACGCUGGCGGCGUGCCUAAUACAUGCAAGUCGAGCGAACAGACGAGGAGCUUGCUCCUCUGACGUUAGCGGCGGACGGGUGAGUAACACGUGGAUAACCUACCUAUAAGACUGGGAUAACUUCGGGAAACCGGAGCUAAUACCGGAUAAUAUCUUGAACCGCAUGGUUCAAUAGUGAAAGACGGUUUUGCUGUCACUAAUAGAUGGAUCCGCGCCGCAUUAGCUAGUUGGUAAGGUAACGGCUUACCAAGGCAACGAUGCGUAGCCGACCUGAGAGGGUGAUAGGCCACACUGGAACUGAGACACGGACCAGACUCCUACGGGAGGCAGCAGUAGGGAAUCUUCCGCAAUGGGCGAAAGCUUGACGGAACAACGCCGCGUGAGUUAUGAAGGUCUUCGGAUCGUAAAGCUCUGUUAUUAGGGAAGAACAAAUGUGGAAGUAACUAUGCACGUCUUGACGGUACCUAAUCAGAAAGCCACGGCUAACUACGUG